GGGCCGGUAGCUCAGUUGGUAGAGCAGGGGACUUUUAAUCCCAAGGUCGCAGGUUCGAUCCCUGCCCGGCCCAUCA
rnacentral:tRNA from 1 species